rnacentral:rRNA from 1 species
AUUGAACGCUGGCGGCAGGCCUAACACAUGCAAGUCGAACGGUAGCACAGAGAGCUUGCUCUCGGGUGACGAGUGGCGGACGGGUGAGUAAUGUCUGGGAAACUGCCUGAUGGAGGGGGAUAACUACUGGAAACGGUAGCUAAUACCGCAUAACGUCGCAAGACCAAAGAGGGGGACCGUCGGGCCUCUUGCCAUCAGAUGUGCCUAGAUGGGAUUAGCUAGUAGGUGGGGUAACGGCUCACCUAGGCGACGAUCCCUAGCUGGUCUGAGAGGAUGACCAGCCACACUGGAACUGAGACACGGUCCAGACUCCUACGGGAGGCAGCAGUGGGGAAUAUUGCACAAUGGGCGCAAGCCUGAUGCAGCCAUGCCGCGUGUAUGAAGAAGGCCUUCGGGUUGUAAAGUACUUUCAGCGAGGAGGAAGGCGGUGAGGUUAAUAACCUCAUCGAUUGACGUUACUCGCAGAAGAAGCACCGGCUAACUCCGUGCCAGCAGCCGCCGUAAUAC